AGAGUUUGAUCCUGGCUCAGAACGAACGCUGGCGGCGUGGAUAAGACAUGCAAGUCGAGCGAGAUUUUUUCUUGUAGCAAUACAGGGAAAAGUCUAGCGGCGAACGGGUGCUUAACACGUGGGCAACCUGCCGUGAAGUGGGGGAUAGCUCGCCGAAAGGCGAAUUAAUACCGCAUGUGAUUAGAGAGGACAUCCUUUCGAAAUUAAAGUCGGGGCAACCUGACGCUUCUUGUGGGGCCCGCGGCCUAUCAGCUAGUUGGUGAGGUAACGGCUCACCAAGGCUUUGACGGGUAGCUGGUCUGAGAGGACGACCAGCCACACUGGGACUGAGACACGGCCCAGACACCUACGGGUGGCAGCAGUCGAGAAUUUUUGACAAUGGGGGAAACCCUGAUCGAGCGACGCCGCGUGGAGGAUGAAGGUCUUCGGAUUGUAAACUCCUGUCAUCGGGGAACAAGGUGCAUACGUUAACUGCGUGUGUAUUGAUAGUACCCGAAGAGGAAGAG
rnacentral:rRNA from 1 species